rnacentral:lncRNA from 1 species
CUUUUCUCCUGUAUUCUGUCUGAUGGUGGCACCAAUGAGCAACGGAAUAACCAAAAGGCACCUGGCAAAAAGCUCUAGGCAUUCUAACUCUAAAAGGACUGAUGAAGACGCUUUUCUGACUACAGACAGAAGGACUCCCCGUUACUGAAUGUUUUUAAUGUACCAUCUGCAUUAUAUAAAUUGUCCCAUUAAUCCUCCAAACCAUUCUAAGAGGACAGGUUUUGCCUUAAGUUAUCCAGAUGUUGUGUGGUGAGGUGAAGGAUUCCAACAGUUUUGUUCGUUGAGAAAAGCAGAAUCCUUUUUUUUUUUCAUUAACAAUGAGAAUGAAUUUUCCUAUUCCAUCAAGAUUUCUAUGUGGCCAUCUCUUCAGGACAUAGGUAUCAGCUACUGUUUUAAAUUUAGGAAAUGCACACACAUAUGCAACCAACCACAUAAUGUUUCCAAAGCAAUAUAUUGAGAUUGAUACAAAUACACAUUUUUCAAGAAUCCUGGACUAAUCCCACACUACUCUGAGCCGCCUUUACUUUUUAAGCCUCUUUAUUUCUAUUAUAUGACUGUGAACUAAGUAGAUUUAACUUUUGU